UACACUCCUGCGGGAGGCAGCAGUGGGGAAUAUUGCACAAUGGGCGCAAGCCUGAUGCAGCCAUGCCGCGUGUAUGAAGAAGGCCUUCGGGUUGUAAAGUACUUUCAGCGGGGAGGAAGGCAAUACGGUUAAUAACCGUGUUGAUUGACGAUACCCGCAGAAGAAGCACCGGCUAACUCCGUGCCAGCAGCCGCGGUAAUACGGAGGGUGCAAGCGUUAAUCGGAAUUACUGGGCGUAAAGCGCACGCAGGCGGUCUGUCAAGUCGGAUGUGAAAUCCCCGGGCUCAACCUGGGAACUGCAUUCGAAACUGGCAGGCUUGAGUCUUGUAGAGGGGGGUAGAAUUCCAGGUGUAGCGGUGAAAUGCGUAGAGAUCUGGAGGAAUACCGGUGGCGAAGGCGGCCCCCUGGACAAAGACUGACGCUCAGGUGCGAAAGCGUGGGGAGCAAACAGGAUUAGAUACCCGGGUAGUCCCAUGAU
rnacentral:rRNA from 1 species